GUCGCUACUACCGAUUGAAUGGCUUAGUGAGGCUUUCGGAUUGGACUUUGGCAGCUGGCAACAGCAGCUAGGGACUAAAAAGUCAUCCAAACUUGGUCAUUUAGAGGAAGUAAAAGUCGUAACAAGGUUUCC
rnacentral:rRNA from 1 species